rnacentral:lncRNA from 1 species
UUUGGGUCUGGACUCGAGACACUAUGGAUCUUAUGAAUCCGGGUCUGGAUCUUAUUUGUUUGGAUCCAAUGAAUUUGGAGUGAAUCUGAAUUUAAGUAAAAAAAUUCGAAUCUAAAUCUAAACCAAGCAAAAUCCGGUUUGCCAUCUCUUGAAAGCUACGCAGAAUUUUCUUUAGAGUCAACGUAUUUAAUAUGUGGUCCUCUCUUUAACACUAGCGAGGAAAUUAAGUAGAAUCUUCAUUCAC